AUAGCCCAUUGCAGAGGCUUUUCAGUAGGUGGCAGGGUCAGGAGGAAGUUCAGCUUUGGAUAUGUUGUAUGUGAGGUGCUGCUGGAACACCCAGAAGUCACUUGGAAACUCAAGCUAGAGAUAUAGAUUUGGGAUUGAUCCAAGAGGGAGGCUAACGUCUACAGCUUAUCAUUUCCAGUCAGUGGUUGUUAAUUUUCUUCAGAUCAUGACUAUGUGACUUGUGGACUGAAGAGCUAGCCGCAAAGUUCGAACUUCCUGCAAUUACUGAACUGAACUGAACCAUGGUAAAUGAAAGGUGAACUGAGAUGUUGGAGGACUGGGUUAUUUAACUAAACCAUGGUAACUGGAAAUCGUGCAUGUCAGAACCAUGCAAAGUGAGGCCUGUGUGUACAUGAUGCAGUUCAGCACUGUUCUGGAGACUGGAAGUCCAAGAUCAAGAUGCCAGGAGGGUUCAUUUUGUUCACGCUGCACCAUCUAUCAGUGGUACAAGUGUAUGCGGACGGACUUCUGGUUCUGCUCCAGCUGUGCACCAAGUGCACAGUCCCUCAGUGAUCUCACAGAUCCCAGCCCAGGCCCAG
rnacentral:lncRNA from 1 species